GGCUCAGAACGAACGCUGGCGGCAUGCCUAACACAUGCAAGUCGAACGAAGGCUUCGGCCUUAGUGGCGCACGGGUGCGUAACGCGUGGGAAUCUGCCCUUUGGUUCGGAAUAACAGCUGGAAACGGCUGCUAAUACCGGAUGAUGACGAAAGUCCAAAGAUUUAUCGCCAGAGGAUGAGCCCGCGUUGGAUUAGGUAGUUGGUGGGGUAAAGGCCUACCAAGCCGACGAUCCAUAGCUGGUCUGAGAGGAUGAUCAGCCACACUGGGACUGAGACACGGCCCAGACUCCUACGGGAGGCAGCAGUGGGGAAUAUUGGACAAUGGGCGAAAGCCUGAUCCAGCAAUGCCGCGUGAGUGAUGAAGGCCCUAGGGUUGUAAAGCUCUUUUACCCGGGAAGAUAAUGACUGUACCGGGAGAAUAAGCCCCGGCUAACUCCGUGCCAGCAGCCGCGGUAAUACGGAGGGGGCUAGCGUUGUUCGGAAUUACUGGGCGUAAAGCGCACGUAGGCGGCUUUGUAAGUCAGAGGUGAAAGCCUGGAGCUCAACUCCAGAACUGCCUUUGAGACUGCAUCGCUUGAAUCCAGGAGAGGUCAGUGGAAUUCCGAGUGUAGAGGUGAAAUUCGUAGAUAUUCGGAAGAACACCAGUGGCGAAGGCGGCUGACUGGACUGGUAUUGACGCUGAG
rnacentral:rRNA from 1 species